GUUUAAUAUCAAUGCAAUUUUGUUUGUAUCCAGUAUGACAGAUCGCUAUGGUAACAACUGAUGUCCACAACAUGCUGGAAAGUUUA